CGGCGGCAGCUUACACAUGCAAGUCGAGCGCACUCUUCGGAGUGAGCGGCGGACGGGUUAGUAACGCGUGGGAACGUGCCCUUCUCUAAGGAAUAGCCACUGGAAACGGUGAGUAAUACCUUAUACGCCCUUCGGGGGAAAGAUUUAUCGGAGAAGGAUCGGCCCGCGUUAGAUUAGAUAGUUGGUGGGGUAAUGGCCUACCAAGUCUACGAUCUAUAGCUGGUUUUAGAGGAUGAUCAGCAACACUGGGACUGAGACACGGCCCAGACUCCUACGGGAGGCAGCAGUGGGGAAUCUUGGACAAUGGGCGCAAGCCUGAUCCAGCCAUGCCGCGUGAGUGAUGAAGGCCUUAGGGUCGUAAAGCUCUUUCGCCAGAGAUGAUAAUGACAGUAUCUGGUAAAGAAACCCCGGCUAACUCCGUGCCAGCAGCCGCGGUAAUACGGAGGGGGUUAGCGUUGUUCGGAAUUACUGGGCGUAAAGCGCACGUAGGCGGAUCAGAAAGUAUAGGGUGAAAUCCCAGGGCUCAACCCUGGAACUGCCUUGUAAACUCCUGGUCUUGAGUUCGAGAGAGGUGAGUGGAAUUCCGAGUGUAGAGGUGAAAUUCGUAGAUAUUCGGAGGAACACCAGUGGCGAAGGCGGCUCACUGGCUCGAUACUGACGCUGAGGUGCGAAAGUGUGGGGAGCAAACAGGAUUAGAUACCCUGGUAGUC
rnacentral:rRNA from 1 species